UUCAAAUGGCCUGGCAGGAAGUGCUCUAGCAGAGGGACUCUGGCCUUGCAAGAGUCCCUAUUUCCCCCUUUUUUUUUGCUUUUCACACAGUAAAACCCUGCUUUACUUCCCUUUGAGUCGUCUGUGAGCCUAAAUUUUUGUGGCUGUGGGAAGGACAAGAACCCCAUCUUUAGCUGAAAUAAGGAAAAGUUCCGCAACAUUUUUGGCACACACCCUGGGGGCUCCGGAAGUGAAAGUUCCCAGGAGAUGAAGACAUUGAAACUGCCAUCAUAAAAUUAAUAAAAGGUUCAAGAUUAGAAUUAUGGUAUUGGCCUGGAUUUUGUUAAGACAGAGACAUAGGAUUAUGUUGGCUCGGAGAAUGAUACCUCAAAGGCUGGUGCUGAGAGUUCUUAGAAGCUGCUUCAGAAUCAAGGAUCUCUCCAGAGAUCAACCACUGGAGAAAAGAUACUAGGAGUCAUCACCACAUCUAGACAGAGUGCUGCUCCAAGAGAUUAACUGAGGGAUUUCAUCUGCAUAAUAAGUCAACCUUUUUUCCGGGCGCAAUGGCUCACGCCUGUAAUCCUAGCACUUU
rnacentral:lncRNA from 1 species